AGUGUUCUUGCCUGGAGAAUCCCGGGGACGGCGGAGCUUGGUGGGCUGCCAUCUAUGGGGUUGCACACUGUCAGACAUGACUGAAGCGACUUAGCAGCAGCAGCAUAUCAUAUAAUCAAUUUUUUUACCUUAUGAUUUUGGUAUACACUUUAUUGAAAAGUUCUUUCCAUGAUAUGCUAUUGUGAUCAUUUCUAUUUCACAGCAUCCACUGGAGGAAAUCUCUAACCACAGUACCUCCAGAAAGUUCAUUGAUCAACCAAGUCUUGGAUAAAAUUGGUGCCAGAAUUUGGUUUGAACUAAUGUGGUGAGUACCACUGUCCUGGUAAUAACUCUGUCUAAAAUUCUUAAUUUUAUUCUCCAACUUUUUUUUUCUAACCAGUGUUUCCAGUUUGUUACAGAUUAUAUGAUUUAAAAAAUCCAGAAUGUAUGGAAGA
rnacentral:lncRNA from 1 species